GGGUUGUGAGGUUAAGCGACUAAGCGUACACGGUGGAUGCCCUGGCAGUCAGAGGCGAUGAAGGACGUGCUAAUCUGCGAUAAGCGUCGGUAAGGUGAUAUGAACCGUUAUAACCGGCGAUUUCCGAAUGGGGAAACCCAGUGUGAUUCGUCACACUAUCAUUAACUGAAUCCAUAGGUUAAUGAGGCGAACCGGGGGAACUGAAACAUCUAAGUACCCCGAGGAAAAGAAAUCAACCGAGAUUCCCCCAGUAGCGGCGAGCGAACGGGGAGCAGCCCAGAGCCUGAAUCAGUGUGUGUGUUAGUGGAAGCGUCUGGAAAGGCGCGCGAUACAGGGUGACAGCCCCGUACACAAAAAUGCACAUAUUGUGAGCUCGAUGAGUAGGGCGGGACACGUGGUAUCCUGUCUGAAUAUGGGGGGCCCAUCCUCCAAGGCUAAAUACUCCUGACUGACCGAUAGUGAACCAGUACCGUGAGGGAAAGGCGAAAAGAACCCCGGCGAGGGGAGUGAAAAAGAACCUGAAACCGUGUACGUACAAGCAGUGGGAGCACGCUUAGGCGUGUGACUGCGUACCUUUUGUAUAAUGGGUCAGCGACUUAUAUUCUGUAGCAAGGUUAACCGAAUAGGGGAGCCGAAGGGAAACCGAGUCUUAACUGGGCGUUAAGUUGCAGGGUAUAGACCCGAAACCCGGUGAUCUAGCCAUGGGCAGGUUGAAGGUUGGGUAACACUAACUGGAGGACCGAACCGACUAAUGUUGAAAAAUUAGCGGAUGACUUGUGGCUGGGGGUGAAAGGCCAAUCAAACCGGGAGAUAGCUGGUUCUCCCCGAAAGCUAUUUAGGUAGCGCCUCGUGAAUUCAUCUCCGGGGGUAGAGCACUGUUUCGGCAAGGGGGUCAUCCCGACUUACCAACCCGAUGCAAACUGCGAAUACCGGAGAAUGUUAUCACGGGAGACACACGGCGGGUGCUAACGUCCGUCGUGAAGAGGGAAACAACCCAGACCGCCAGCUAAGGUCCCAAAGUCAUGGUUAAGUGGGAAACGAUGUGGGAAGGCCCAGACAGCCAGGAUGUUGGCUUAGAAGCAGCCAUCAUUUAAAGAAAGCGUAAUAGCUCACUGGUCGAGUCGGCCUGCGCGGAAGAUGUAACGGGGCUAAACCAUGCACCGAAGCUGCGGCAGCGACGCUUAUGCGUUGUUGGGUAGGGGAGCGUUCUGUAAGCCUGCGAAGGUGUGCUGUGAGGCAUGCUGGAGGUAUCAGAAGUGCGAAUGCUGACAUAAGUAACGAUAAAGCGGGUGAAAAGCCCGCUCGCCGGAAGACCAAGGGUUCCUGUCCAACGUUAAUCGGGGCAGGGUGAGUCGACCCCUAAGGCGAGGCCGAAAGGCGUAGUCGAUGGGAAACAGGUUAAUAUUCCUGUACUUGGUGUUACUGCGAAGGGGGGACGGAGAAGGCUAUGUUGGCCGGGCGACGGUUGUCCCGGUUUAAGCGUGUAGGCUGGUUUUCCAGGCAAAUCCGGAAAAUCAAGGCUGAGGCGUGAUGACGAGGCACUACGGUGCUGAAGCAACAAAUGCCCUGCUUCCGUGAAAAGCCUCUAAGCAUCAGGUAACAUCAAAUCGUACCCCAAACCGACACAGGUGGUCAGGUAGAGAAUACCAAGGCGCUUGAGAGAACUCGGGUGAAGGAACUAGGCAAAAUGGUGCCGUAACUUCGGGAGAAGGCACGCUGAUAUGUAGGUGAAGUCCCUUGCGGAUGGAGCUGAAAUCAGUCGAAGAUACCAGCUGGCUGCAACUGUUUAUUAAAAACACAGCACUGUGCAAACACGAAAGUGGACGUAUACGGUGUGACGCCUGCCCGGUGCCGGAAGGUUAAUUGAUGGGGUCAGCGCAAGCGAAGCUCUUGAUCGAAGCCCCGGUAAACGGCGGCCGUAACUAUAACGGUCCUAAGGUAGCGAAAUUCCUUGUCGGGUAAGUUCCGACCUGCACGAAUGGCGUAAUGAUGGCCGGCUGUCUCCACCCGAGACUCAGUGAAAUUGAACUCGCUGUGAAGAUGCAGUGUACCCGCGGCAAGACGGAAAGACCCCGUGAACCUUUACUAUAGCUUGACACUGAACAUUGAGCCUUGAUGUGUAGGAUAGGUGGGAGGCUUUGAAGUGUGGACGCCAGUCUGCAUGGAGCCGGCCUUGAAAUACCACCCUUUAAUGUUUGAUGUUCUAACGUGGACCCGUGAUCCGGGUUGCGGACAGUGUCUGGUGGGUAGUUUGACUGGGGCGGUCUCCUCCUAAAGAGUAACGGAGGAGCACGAAGGUUGGCUAAUCCUUGGUCGGACAUCAGGAGGUUAGUGCAAUGGCAUAAGCCAGCUUGACUGCGAGCGUGACGGCGCGAGCAGGUGCGAAAGCAGGUCAUAGUGAUCCGGUGGUUCUGAAUGGAAGGGCCAUCGCUCAACGGAUAAAAGGUACUCCGGGGAUAACAGGCUGAUACCGCCCAAGAGUUCAUAUCGACGGCGGUGUUUGGCACCUCGAUGUCGGCUCAUCACAUCCUGGGGCUGAAGUAGGUCCCAAGGGUAUGGCUGUUCGCCAUUUAAAGUGGUACGCGAGCUGGGUUUAGAACGUCGUGAGACAGUUCGGUCCCUAUCUGCCGUGGGCGCUGGAGAACUGAGGGGGGGCUGCUCCUAGUACGAGAGGACCGGAGUGGACGCAUCACUGGUGUUCGGGUUGUCAUGCCAAUGGCACUGCCCGGUAGCUAAAUGCGGAAGAGAUAAGUGCUGAAAGCAUCUAAGCACGAAACUUGCCCCGAGAUGAGUUCUCCCUGACCCUUUAAGGGUCCUGAAGGAACGUUGAAGACGACGACGUUGAUAGGCCGGGUGUGUAAGCGCAGCGAUGCGUUGAGCUAACCGGUACUAAUGAACCGUGAGGCUUAACCUUACAACGCCGAAG
rnacentral:rRNA from 1 species